rnacentral:rRNA from 1 species
AAUAAAGUUUGUAUAUAUAAGUAAAUCAUUUUUUUAUAUAGUAUUAGAAGUAUAGAAAUAAUAAUGAAAAAGUACUGUAAAGGUAAUAAAUAAUUGGUGUAUAGUAGGAUUAAGAAUUCGUACCUUUUGUAUAAUGGGUUGAUGAUAGAUUUAAUUUUAUAAAAAAGUCUCGAAGUAAAAGGAUUUACUUAAUAAAUAAGUGUUAACGUAGUAAAGUUAUAUUAUUAUUAUUAGGUGGUAAUGAAAUGUUUAUCGAUUUUUAGGAUAGCUAGUUUAUUAGUGUAAAUAUUUUAGUAUUUUAGUGUUAAGAUUAUUGUAAAGUAUUUUAAUAUUAUUUAUUUUAUAAGGGAUAAGCUUUAUAUAAUAUGUUAGAGUAGUAUAAAAAUUAGUAUUAUUUAAGUAGGGUUAAAAUUGUCUUUCUUAUAAAUUUUAAAUGUAGUAUGUUGAUUUAUAUAUUCAGAUUAGGAGCUAAUAAAUUUUUGGUAAUUAUAAUAGUAAAAGGUAUAAUGUUAAUAUGAGUAUUAUUAUGAUAGAGUUAUUUAAUUAUUUUAAAAUGUUUAAAUGCUGAUUGUAAGAGUAAAUAAAGAAAUAAAGUAAAGGAAUUCGGCAAAUAUAAAUCUCGCCUGUUUAUCAAAAACAUCUCUCUUUGUAUUAAUUAAAUAAAGAGUUGGGCCUGCUCAGUGAAUAUUUAAACAGCUGCGGUAUUUUAACUGUACUAAGGUAGCAUAAUAAUUUGCCUUAUAAAUUGAGGCUAGAAUGAAAGGUUUGACGAAGGUUUAUCUGUCUCUAGUUUAUUUAUUAGAAUUUAAUUUUUUAGUGAAAAAGCUAAAAUAGUUUAAAGGGAAGAGAAGACCCUAUUGAGCUUUAAUUUUAAUAGGUUAUAAUAAAUAUUAUAGUAAAAUAGAAAUUUUAAUUGGGGUGAUUAAGGAAUAAAAAAGUAACUUCCUUAAAAAUAAAAUUGUUAGGUUAAGUAACCAAUUGUAUUGCUUAUAUAAAGUUACCAUAGGGAUAACAGCGUAAUUUAUUUAGCAAGCUCUAAUUAAAAAAUAAGAUUGCGACCUCGAUGUUGGAUUAAAGUAACCUUAAGGUGUAGAAGCUUUAAUUGGUAAAUCUGUUCGAUUUUUAAAACUUUACAUGAUCUGAGUUCAGACCGGUGUGAGCCAGGUUGGUUUCUAUCUUUUAAAGUUAUAUAAUUCUUUUUUUUAGUACGAAAGGACCAAAAAAAGUAAUAUGAUUAGUAUUUAUAAAGUUGACAGAGUAAAUGUGUA